rnacentral:rRNA from 1 species
AGGAUGAACGCUGGCGGCAUGCCUAACACAUGCAAGUCGAACGAGACCUUCGGGUCUAGUGGCGCACGGGUGCGUAACGCGUGGGAAUCUGCCCUUAGGUACGGAAUAACUCAGGGAAACUUGUGCUAAUACCGUAUGAUGUCUUCGGACCAAAGAUUUAUCGCCUAGGGAUGAGCCCGCGUAGGAUUAGCUAGUUGGUGGGGUAAAGGCCUACCAAGGCUACGAUCCUUAGCUGGUCUGAGAGGAUGAUCAGCCACACUGGGACUGAGACACGGCCCAGACUCCUACGGGAGGCAGCAGUGGGGAAUAUUGGACAAUGGGCGAAAGCCUGAUCCAGCAAUGCCGCGUGAGUGAAGAAGGCCUUCGGGUUGUAAAGCUCUUUUACCCGGGAAGAUAAUGACUGUACCGGGAGAAUAAGCCCCGGCUAACUCCGUGCCAGCAGCCGC